UACGGAGGGUGCGAGCGUUGUCCGGAAUCAUUGGGCGUAAAGGGCGCGUAGGUGGCCCCUCAAGCGGGCGGUGAAAGUCGGGGGCUCAACCCCCGAUCGGCCGUGCGAACUGGGGGGCUGGAGCACUGUAGAGGCAGGCGGAAUUCCUGGUGUAGCGGUGAAAUGCGUAGAUAUCAGGAGGAACACCGGUGGCGAAGGCGGCUAUCUGGACAGAAACUGACGCUGAGGCGCGAAAGCUAGGGGAGCAAACAGG
rnacentral:rRNA from 1 species